ACGGGAGGCAGCAGUGGGGAAUAUUGCGCAAUGGGGGAAACCCUGACGCAGCAACGCCGCGUGAAGGAAGAAGGCCUUCGGGUUGUAAACUUUUGUCUUAUGGGAAGAAGGAGUGACGGUACCAUAGGAGGAAGCCACGGCUAACUACGUGCCAGCAGCCGCGGUAAUACGUAGGUGGCAAGCGUUGUCCGGAUUUACUGGGUGUAAAGGGCGCGUAGGCGGGCGCUUAAGUCAGAUGUGAAAUACCGGAGCUUAACUCCGGGGCUGCAUUUGAAACUGGGCGUCUUGAGUGCGGGAGAGGUAAGCGGAAUUCCUAGUGUAGCGGUGAAAUGCGUAGAUAUUAGGAGGAACACCAGUGGCGAAGGCGGCUUACUGGACCGUAACUGACGCUGAGGCGCGAAAGCGUGGGUAGCAAACAGGAUUAGAUACCCUGGUA
rnacentral:rRNA from 1 species